GGGAGUUGGAGAGCCCAACCGAUGGUGGUGGGGAGCCCAGGAGUGUCAGGGCCACGUAGGCACCAGACUUGAUCAACUUCACCACCUCGAGGUGGGAGCUGUUGGUCACCAUGGUGCCGUUCACCUUGACUAUGCGGUCCCCUUCCUGCACCCCGGCCUUCAUAGCCGCACCUCCUGGCCGCACGGACUGGACGAGGACGAUACGGUCCCCACUGACGGUGAAGCCAAAGCCAUGCUGGUCCUUCUGGAUGAUGACGCACCGCUGGACCAGACCUGUGGUCUCAGAGGAAUCAGAGGGCUGACGGCGGUGCCCAGGAGAUCUCCGCUCAGAAGACGAAUCACCCAGGGAAGACAGGCUGCUCAACCUGUCCGGGGCGGCCUGCGGCGGCCUCACGCUCAUGGUUCCUCCGCGUCCCCGCAGCCGCCGCCCGGCGCCCGUGGGCCGCAGCCGCGCUCAGGGCUCGGGGAACCGCAGCCCCGCGCCGGCCGCCACCAUCCCCGGCGCCCGGCGGCCCCGCGGCGGAGCGCGGUGCGGCGCUGCCCGGCUCCAGCGUCCCCCGAGCGGCCCCGGGGAGCGCGGCGGGCCCGGCCCGGCCCGGCCCGGCCCGGCUCG
rnacentral:lncRNA from 1 species